rnacentral:miRNA from 1 species
UGACAGAAAAGAGCAAGCAC